rnacentral:rRNA from 1 species
UACGUAGGCAGCAAGCGUUGUUCGGAGUUACUGGGCGUAAAGGGUGCGUAGGCGGUCCUAUAAGUAUGGUGUGAAAUCUCCCGGCUUAACUGGGAGGGUGCGCUAUAGACUGUGGGACUAGAGUGUGGGAGAGGAAAGUGGAAUUCCUGGUGUAGCGGUGAAAUGCGUAGAUAUCAGGAGGAACACCGGUGGUGUAAACGGCUUUCUGGACCAUAACUGACGCUGGAGGCACGAAAGCCGUGGGUAGCAAACAGG